CCAUAACCCAAAACCAUCGAGACUCCCACCAAAACGUAACUCAUCACUCCCUUAGACGCACCACUUGCCUUUGGUGGAGGAGGAGGAGAAGUUGAACCUGCACCAGGUGUGGGUGUGGUGGGUGUGGGUGAUCCGCCAGACGGAGGUGAUUCCGGUGUGGUAGGAGUUCCCGGAGUUGAAGAAGGUGGCGUGGGAGUGGCCGGAGGUCCGGCAGAACCGGCUACGACAUUAACGGCUAGCUUCAUGCCGCCA
rnacentral:lncRNA from 1 species